rnacentral:rRNA from 1 species
GUGCCAGCCGCCGCGGUAAUACGUACUGGGCGAACGUUAUUCGGAAUCACUGGGCUUAAAGGGUGUGUAGGCGGUUCGGCAAGUCAGAUGUGAAAUCCCCCGGCCUAACCGGGGAACUGCGUUUGAAACUGCCGUGCUUGAGUGCGGUAGGGGUGCGCGGAACUUCCAGUGGAGCGGUGAAAUGCGUUGAUAUUGGAAGGAACGCCGGUGGCGAAAGCGGCGCACUGGGUCGUUACUGACGCUGAGACACGAAAGCCAGGGGAGCGAACGGGAUUAGAUACCCCGGUAGUCCUGGCUGUAAACGAUGGGCACUAGACGGGAGACGCUUCGGCGGAUCCGGUCGCAGCGAAAGCACUAAGUGCCCCGCCUGGGGAGUAUGGUCGCAAGGCUGAAACUCAAAGGAAUUGACGGGGGCUCACACAAGCGGUGGAGCAUGUGGCUUAAUUCGAGGCAACGCGAAGAACCUUAUCCUGGGUUUGACAUGUACGGAUUAACUCUGUGAAAGCAGAGCCACGCCUUCGGGUGGAACGUACACAGGUGCUGCAUGGCUGUCGUCAGCUCGUGCCG